CAACAUGCUGCUGCUUCUGCUGCCCCUGUUGUCUGGAGGCUUGACUCUAUGUGUUGGACAGACUGCGUCAUUAACACAGACCACGGUACAAUCCCUCCUCACACAGCCAGUCCAUGCCACUGCUGUCCUUCCCACAGCUGAUGAUGCACACAACAAUGUCGCGGUUCUUCUAACAGCUGUUCAGUCGACCCGCGCGCUCAACGAAACAACACUUGCUCCCGUCUUGAACAAGGUGAUCGCCUGACUGAAAUGAUGCAAUGGCUAGAGUUAGAUUUUAGUUUGGCUAAUCAAACGGCAUAUUGAUUAAUUGUUUUACAGCUCCACGACAUCAUCCAGGGGAUUCAACCGGACGCAAUGUUCUCCCUCAGUCUGAAAAACUACACCAGAGUCUGAGUGGCCGACUUUGGUAACACAAGACACUGAUAACGCGUUUGUGUGUACUUGUGUCUUUGUGCGAGUGAAGAAGAGACAAAGAGACACAAGCUGCCCAAAUGUCUGCCAAACAGUGGUUUGGAAAUUUUAUUUUAUUUAAUAUCACUAUACCCAUAAAUACGCACCAUCACUGAAGGAUCAUUAAAAUUU